rfam:Zea mays cultivar B73 chromosome 7, whole genome shotgun sequence.
AUGUCUUUCUCGUUCUUUUGACUAAAAUAAAGUGUAAUAUUUAUUCUUAUCAAUUUAAUAGCUGGUAUAUGGACAAUGUGUUCACAUUGAUAUUAAAUUUAUUUAUUAUGAAUAUUUUUUGUGGGGUGGGUCUGCCACAUUAGCUUAUUAGACCCUCUCGUGUCGCUCAACCAUUGCACUGCUGGUAAGACAUAUUCCAC